rnacentral:rRNA from 1 species
CCUACGGGGUGCAGCAGUGGGGGAUAUUGCACAAUGGGGGAAACCCUGAUGCAGCGACGCCGCGUGGGUGAAGAAGCGCCUCGGCGCGUAAAGCCCUGUCAGCAGGGAAGAAAAUGACGGUACCUGAAGAAGAAGCCACGGCUAACUACGUGCCAGCAGCCGCGGUAAUACGUAGGGGGCAAGCGUUAGCCGGAUUUACUGGGUGUAAAGGGGGCGCAGACGGCGAUGCAAGCCAGGAGUGAAAGCCCGGGGCCCAACCCCGGGACUGCUCGUGGAACUGCGUGGCUAGAGUGCAGGAGGGGCAGGCGGAAUUCCUGGUGUAGCGGUGAAAUGCGUAGAUAUCAGGAGGAACACCGGUGGCGAAGGCGGCCUGCUGGACUGCAACUGACGUUGAGGCCCGAAAGCGUGGGGAGCAAACAGGAUUAGAUACCCUUGUAGUC